rnacentral:rRNA from 2 species
GCACGUCGACGGUGAAGCCCAGCUUGCUGGGUGGAUCAGUGGCGAACGGGUGAGUAACACGUGAGCAAUCUGCCCCUGACUCUGGGAUAAGCGCUGGAAACGGCGUCUAAUACUGGAUACGAACCGUGGAGGCAUCUUCAACGGUUGGAAAGAUUUUUUGGUCAGGGAUGAGCUCGCGGCCUAUCAGCUUGUUGGUGAGGUAAUGGCUCACCAAGGCGUCGACGGGUAGCCGGCCUGAGAGGGUGACCGGCCACACUGGGACUGAGACACGGCCCAGACUCCUACGGGAGGCAGCAGUGGGGAAUAUUGCACAAUGGGCGAAAGCCUGAUGCAGCAACGCCGCGUGAGGGAUGACGGCCUUCGGGUUGUAAACCUCUUUUAGCAGGGAAGAAGCGAAAGUGACGGUACCUGCAGAAAAAGCGCCGGCUAACUACGUGCCAGCAGCCGCGGUAAUACGUAGGGCGCAAGCGUUAUCCGGAAUUAUUGGGCGUAAAGAGCUCGUAGGCGGUUUGUCGCGUCUGCUGUGAAAUCCCGAGGCUCAACUUCGGGUCUGCAGUGGGUACGGGCAGACUAGAGUGCGGUAGGGGGAGAUUGGAAUUCCUGGUGUAGCGGUGGAAUGCGCAGAUAUCAGGAGGAACACCGAUGGCGAAAGCAGAUCUCUGGGCCGUAACUGACGCUGAGGAGCGAAAGGGUGGGGAGCAAACAGGCUUAGAUACCCUGGUAGUCCACCCCGUAAACGUUGGGAACUAGUUGUGGGGUCCAUUCCACGGAUUCCGUGACGCAGCUAACGCAUUAAGUUCCCCGCCUGGGGAGUACGGCCGCAAGGCUAAAACUCAAAGGAAUUGACGGGGACCCGCACAAGCGGCGGAGCAUGCGGAUUAAUUCGAUGCAACGCGAAGAACCUUACCAAGGCUUGACAUAUACGAGAACGCUGCAGAAAUGUAGAACUCUUUGGACACUCGUAAACAGGUGGUGCAUGGUUGUCGUCAGCUCGUGUCGUGAGAUGUUGGGUUAAGUCCCGCAACGAGCGCAACCCUCGUUCUAUGUUGCCAGCACGUAAUGGUGGGAACUCAUGGGAUACUGCCGGGGUCAACUCGGAGGAAGGUGGGGAUGACGUCAAAUCAUCAUGCCCCUUAUGUCUUGGGCUUCACGCAUGCUACAAUGGCCGGUACAAAGGGCUGCAAUACCGUGAGGUGGAGCGAAUCCCAAAAAGCCGGUCCCAGUUCGGAUUGAGGUCUGCAACUCGACCUCAUGAAGUCGGAGUCGCUAGUAAUCGCAGAUCAGCAACGCUGCGGUGAAUACGUUCCCGGGUCUUGUACACACCGCCCGUCAAGUCAUGAAAGUCGGUAACACCUGAAGCCGGUGGCCCAACCCUUGUGG